rnacentral:rRNA from 1 species
AUGGGACAGAUCGUCGAGACUCGAGUCCAAUCGCAGCUCCUGAUCAGAACCACCCGGGCGGUUAAUUACCAGUUUACCAUACAUAACCUCAGGUCGAGAAAUCGAUUGGCAGCACACAAAGUCCAAAAAAGUUUCGAAGCUAGUCGAUUCCAGGUAUACGCUCGCGUGCUUGUCGAGGGAAUCGCCGCCGGCAUCACCAGGGCCGAUCCAUCCAUCCUUUCUGCCAUGGUCAACAUGGACGGUGCGAUGGAGUGCAUUGCACGAGUAUGUCGGGCCAUCGUCACAGCCUGCGACACGAUCACGGCCGCCGCGCUGCUCGUCAGGGAGUCCGCGGAGGCCCUCAGGGUGGCCGCGGAGGCGGCCCGGAACGAGCCGACGCCGACGCCGGACAUGCGGCCACCCGCCGACCGCGACGGCGCAGCCGCCACUUCGGAUGACCGGAGCGAGUGCGUGAUCUGCAUGGAGCCGUACGAGGCCGGCGGCGACCGGUGCCGCGUCCUGCCGGCGUGCGGCCACAUGUUCCACAGGCGCUGCCUCAGGACGUGGCUGCGCACCAGCAGCACUUGCCCGCUCUGCAGGGCAUCCACAGAGCCGGCGCCGGCGCACGUCCGACGGGCAACUCCGGUGUAG